rnacentral:lncRNA from 1 species
UGCUGGAUGAUGACUAUCUUGAAAAUGAAGAUGAAUAUGAAGAUACUGAUAACCCUGGCAAGUGACAGAACUACACAGUACUGGUUGCCUUCAAGAGGAGAAACAGAAUAAAGUUGGGAAGUUGUUUUAAAUUUUGACUUAUUUAACUGUUGUGUAUUUAAUAUGUUAAACAUAGACUAUUAAAUAAAAUUGUUAAUGCAUU